AGAUCCAAAACCAGCAGACAAACCCGAU
rnacentral:sRNA from 1 species